CCGCGUGAUCAGGUUGCGGCCCUUCACGUCUUACAGGCUGCGUUCAGUUCUGUCAGCUUGUCUAGAGAGCCGAAGAGUAGUCCCCGUCUGACAAGCACGAAAACGAACGGAGACAUGGCCGGCAAAGGGAUAAGAAAGCGACCGGCAUCUGAGACCGGACAAACCCAGCCCUUGGAAAUGCUGGACUUGCAGCUGCUGCGGCUGCUGCGGCGCCUCCUCAUCGUACAGAUUUGGUGUAUGGAACAAAGGAGACGACUCCUCGAGGAGCUUAUGGAAAUGAUGGAUAAUGUUCAAGAAUAGCACAUGCUGCGACUUCUCUCUUUUUUAAAGUAUUUUUAUUGAAAUGUAAUAAACCUUCUUCUC